UCGAGCGAAGUCUCUGGGUCACCUCCCACCCGUGUUUAUUUACCUUAUUGCUUCGGCGGGCCCGCCUUCACUGGCCGCCGGGGGGCUCACGCCCCCGGGCCCGCGCCCGCCGAAGACACCCCGAACUCUGUCUGAAGAAUGAAGUCUGAGUGAAAAUAUAAAUUAUUUAAAACUUUCAACAACGGAUCUCUUGGUUCCGGCAUCGAUGAAGAACGCAGCGAAAUGCGAUACGUAAUGUGAAUUGCAAAUUCAGUGAAUCAUCGAGUCUUUGAACGCACAUUGCGCCCCCUGGUAUUCCGGGGGGCAUGCCUGUCCGAGCGUCAUUGCUGCCCUCAAGCCCGGCUUGUGUGUUGGGCCUCGUCCUCCGAUUCCGGGGGACGGGCCCGAAAGGCAGCGGCGGCACCGCGUCCGGUCCUCGAGCGUAUGGGGCUCUGUCACCCGCUCUGUAGGCCCGGCCGGCGCUUGCCGAUCAACCCAAAUUUUUAUCCAGGUUGACCUCGGAUCAGGUAGGGAUACCCGCUGAACUUAAGCAUAUC
rnacentral:rRNA from 1 species